rnacentral:rRNA from 1 species
GACGAACGCUGGCGGCGUGCUUAACACAUGCAAGUCGAACGGGAAGGCCCUGCUUUUGUGGGGUGCUCGAGUGGCGAACGGGUGAGUAACACGUGAGUAACCUGCCCUUGACUUUGGGAUAACUUCAGGAAACUGGGGCUAAUACCGGAUAGGAGCUCCUGCUGCAUGGUGGGGGUUGGAAAGUUUCGGCGGUUGGGGAUGGACUCGCGGCUUAUCAGCUUGUUGGUGGGGUAGUGGCUUACCAAGGCUUUGACGGGUAGCCGGCCUGAGAGGGUGACCGGCCACAUUGGGACUGAGAUACGGCCCAGACUCCUACGGGAGGCAGCAGUGGGGAAUAUUGCACAAUGGGCGGAAGCCUGAUGCAGCAACGCCGCGUGCGGGAUGACGGCCUUCGGGUUGUAAACCGCUUUCGCCUGUGACGAGGCGUGAGUGACGGUAAUGGGUAAAGAAGCACCGGCUAACUACGUG